rnacentral:rRNA from 1 species
GUGUCAGCCGCCGCGGUAAAACCAGCACCUCAAGUGGUCAGGAGGAUUAUUGGGCCUAAAGCAUCCGUAGCCUGCUCUGUAAGUUUCCGGUUAAAUCCAUUAGCUUAACUUAUGGGCCGCCGGAAAAACUGCAAAGCUAGGGAGUGGGAGAGGUAGACGGUACUCGGUAGGAAGGGGUAAAAUCCUUUGAUCUAUUGAUGACCACCUGUGGCGAAGGCGGUCUACCAGAACACGUUCGACGGUGAGGGAUGAAAGCUGGGGGAGCAAACCGGAUUAGGUACCCGGGUAGUCCCAGCUGUAAACGAUGCAGACUCGGUGAUGCCCUGGCUUGUGGCCAGUGCAGUGCCGCAGGGAAGCCGUUAAGUUUGCCGCCUGGGAAGUACGUACGCAAGUAUGAAACUUAAAGGAAUUGGCGGGGGAGCACCACAAGGGGUGAAGCCUGCGGUUCAAUUGGAGUCAACGCCAGAAAUCUUACCCGAGGAGACAGCAGAAUGAAGGUCAAGCUGGAGACUUUACCAGACAAGCUGAGAAGUGGUGCAUGGCCGUCGCCAGCUCGUGCCGUGAGAUGUCCUGUUAAGUCAGGUAACGAGCGAGAUCCCUGCCUCUAGUUGCCACCAUUACUCUCAGGAGUAGUGGGGCGAAUUAGCGGGACCGCCACAGUUAAUGUGGAGGAAGGAAGGGGCCACGGCAGGUCAGUAUGCCCUGAAACCUUGGGGCCACACGCGGGCUGCAAUGAUAGUGACAAUGAGUUCCUAAACCGAAAGGUGGAGGCAAUCUUCAAACGCUAUCACAGUUAUGAUUGAGGGCUGCAACUCGCCCUCAUGAAUAUGGAAUCCCUAGUAACUGCGUGUCAUUACCGCGCGGUGAAUACGUCCCUGCUCCUUGCACACACCGCCCGUC